rnacentral:rRNA from 1 species
GACGAACGCUGGCGGCGUGCCUAAUACAUGCAAGUCGAGCGAACUUUUGGGAGCUUGCUCCCAAAAGUUAGCGGCGGACGGGUGAGUAACACGUGGGCAACCUACCUGUAAGACUGGGAUAACUUCGGGAAACCGGAGCUAAUACCGGAUAAUCCUUUCUCUCUCAUGAGGGAAAGCUGAAAGAUGGUUUUGGCUAUCACUUACAGAUGGGCCCGCGGCGCAUUAGCUAGUUGGUGAGGUAACGGCUUACCAAGGCCACGAUGCGUAGCCGACCUGAGAGGGUGAUCGGCCACACUGGGACUGAGACACGGACCAGACUCCUACGGGAGGCAGCAGUAGGGAAUCUUCCGCAAUGGACGAAAGUCUGACGGAGCAACGCCGCGUGAGUGAUGAAGGUUUUCGGAUCGUAAAACUCUGUUGUUAGGGAAGAACAAGUAUCGGAGUAACUGCCGGUACCUUGACGGUACCUAACCAGAAAGCCACGGCUAACUACGUGCCAGCAGCCGCCGUAAAAC